rnacentral:rRNA from 1 species
GACGAACGCUGGCGGCGUGCUUAACACAUGCAAGUCGAACGGAAAGGCCCUGCUUUUGUGGGGUGCUCGAGGGGCGAACGGGUGAGUAACACGUGAGUAACCUGCCCUUGACUUUGGGAUAACUUCAGGAAACUGGGGCUAAUACCGGAUCGGAGACCCUGCUGCAGGGUGGGGGGUGGAAAGUUUCGGCGGGUGGGGAUGGACUCGCGGCUUAUCAGCUUGCUGGUGGGGGAGUGGCUUACCAAGGCUGUGACGGGUCGCCGGCCGGAGAGGGUGACCGGCGUCAAUGCGCCUGCGGUACGGCGCAGUCUCCUACGGUGGGCAGCGGUGGGAAGUAUUGCACAAUGGGCGCGCGCCUGAUGCGGCGGCCCCGCGUUCGGGAUGACGGCCUUCGGGUUGUAAACCGCAUCCGCCUGUGACGAAGCGUUUGUGACGGUAAUGGGUAAAGAAGCACCGGCUAACUACGUG